rnacentral:ncRNA from 1 species
UGGCAAACUUGCUGAAAGGCAAGGACGCAAAGCUAUAGGGCCUUCCCUCAUAGAGGAUGGUAGCCAGUUGCC